UCCAGCAGCAACUUGCAGAAGGCAAAUCGGAAGAUGCCACGGGAACAUUUCUAGACCUGGGGCAAGUCAUCCUAAAAUACAGUAACAACGUGGUAUCUAUGUCCAUCACUUGUCCUCGCCAUAACACAGGAAGAUGGCGUGCACUUUAGUGUUAAGGGAGUUUCUGAGAGUUGCAUGACCUGCAGGACUUUUAAAACUUCAUGUUAGACGACGAGAGCAACUCGGCAGUGGUGAAAGAGGGUAAAAGUAGCUCAUAUAGAUACACGGAGAGAACCUCAACUGGUGCAGGUCAGCCAACUGUGACUUCGGAAGCUUUAUGAAUGGGCCAAUUAGAAAGAAGCUAAAGAUCAUCCCGGAUAAUGUGACAUGGCAAGGACAGUUUCGCUCGAUUUUUCCAGCCAUGCGUGGAGAUUUCACGAAACUAAGAAUCGAAGAGGUGGACAAGCUUUUAGCCAAAAGCAUAAACGUCGCCAUUUACAAUGGACAGUUCAGGGUUUUCCUCGAACUUUUUCCACGCGCUUCGCGCAGUCCGGUCGCCAACUGAUCUUGGCUCCCCAUAAUCUCAUAUGGACGACUUCCUAAUGCUGCAGCUAGAUCUCAUAUGUGCAACAAAAGGAGCAGAAGCAUGGCUCAGUAAGCUCAAGUGGCAUGGUCUGAGCAGUUUCCUGAGUGAGGACCGUGCUCCUCUGUACCGUGGAAAAGGCUUUACGGGGACGAAAGGAUCAGGAACCUCUUCUUUUACUGGAUUCUCGGCGCUGGACACAUGGUGAGCUAUUCACAGUCAAAUCCUUCCAGUGGAAUUGCUUUCGGGAUGUGAAGAUUACUUCAAGCCACGAAUCAUUCUUUCAAAGUACAAAAAGGAUCAUUCAAGAUGAAUCAGAUUCCUGAGAAUACUUCUAAAUUUUUGCUUUCACUAAGUAAAUCUCUAAAGAUGAUUUUCUCCCUCUCAAUUUUUCAUAUAUCUAUAAAACAGUAUAAUUCAUGGUUUCCAGUUUAGGCACCCUUCUCCAUAUAUCUUUUACUAACUAUAGCUCAGACAACUCUUCCAUAAAAUUAAAAAGUACAUAUUUCACAAAUUUCUUGAACUAGUAUUCCUCUUCUUGUCAUAAUUCUUAAUACAGUUUGAAAACAGUGAAACAUAAAAAUCGCCUUUAGCUUGUUGAAAAUUUGUAAAAUAAGGAAACUCUUUAAUCUUUUUAGCUCAUUUCUUACUUCUCUACGAAAAAUAGUAAUUGGAUGUUCUCCACAAGCCUGGACACUAUUUUCCUAUUUCUAUCACAUUCCAAAAACUUCA